AUGAGUCCACAGCGAGGAGCUGGACCCAGAAGUAUGCAAUGGGCUGACCCUGGAGCCGCGCUUGGAGGAUGAUGUUGGGGCCAUCUUCGCUUGUUACACCUAAUGUAUCUUUGUUCCUGUUCUGCUGCUGCUAUAUGGGAUUGUACUGUCCACCUACCUGACUGAAUUCAAGUGUCAUAUUGUGAAGUGAUGGCAGAAGGCCUCUAUGGGUCUAUGGGUGCACCCAUCCAACAAAUUAAUAGAGAUGGGAACC
rnacentral:lncRNA from 1 species